UUACGGUGACAUCAGUAUGAAACACCGGUUUCCGUACUAUCACCGAAGUUAGGCAACGUCGAGCCUGGUUAGUACCUAAAUGGGUGACCGCUUGGGAAUACCAAGAAAUGU